AGGAGGAACAACCGCCGUGGCGGGGCCAGCUCUGGAGCCCUGGAUUCAGCCCCCGCAGGAACUCCGGAGCUCUCGGUCUGCAGGGCCUGGAGGCUCCGGGGCGGG
rfam:Canis lupus familiaris chromosome 17, whole genome shotgun sequence.